GUGUCUGAGCAGGAAGAGGCCCUUCACCUACAAACUUCAUGCUCAAAAAUACCAUUUCUCUGUCUGUCCACCCAACAGAUCAAACAACAUUUCUGAAGAAACUCGACCACAGCAGCUUAGACGCAGAAGCUUACCUUUAGUAAGACUAGUAAUUUCUGUCUUCCUUCUGCUCUGGAUUAACAAUAAUACAGUGCAUCAACAAAGAUCCAGCAGCAGGAUGAGACUGAAGGAUGAGAAUGAGAGUGUGAGAGAGUCUGGGGGAGCGGUGCUGUAAUGGCUAAAAACAGACAGUCAGUUUGAGGAUUGUGUCAGUCUACAAUAAAUGAGAUCAGAUCCAGAAGAUCCCGACUGCAGUGACAAUCAACAGGGAUCCAACAGAGAUCAACGCUAUCAGAGAGACAGACACUGGAAGAUGUGAAGGAGCAUAAAAGAAAGACAUGGAAGUGAUUGAAUCAGUCUGAUCUACAACAGAAUACAGAAAUCAGGUCAGGGAUUGUUGAGUACACAGCUGUAGGUGUUUUUAUCCUGAUAUUCCACCUCCAGAGGUAGAGAGAGACUGAUGCUGAGAUCAGACACACUGAUGCUGGACAAUAAACUGUUUCCUUUGUACCAGGAGAGAGUCGCAUGACUCACAUUCAAAACUGAACACAACAAUGAACAAUAUGAUGAUGAUGGAGAACAUUGUGAAGCGUUACUGCUGGUGAGAGGAACAGGCAGACGAGCUGAAAACAUGAGAGAAUGAACAGAAAUAUGAACACAACAAUCAGUCUAUUUUCAGUGUUGUGAAUUGUAGUGAAUCGGUGUAAUAGAUUUUGUGUUGAGUAAGUGUUUAGUGUAUUGAUGAUCGCUGAAUGUGUCUGUCAUCUCAAACUAGAAAAUAUGUAAAUAUAAUAUGUACAUGUUUGAAUAAAUCAUGUCUUUAUACCAGGAAUAUGUCGGUAGCUGAACACCUGAUGAACAAACAAAUUUUACAGAUUAUGGCUCCUGAGGUUUACAAUGUCUGAAAUCAGCUGUAGAUUGUAUUGUUUAAGAACAUCUAGAAUAGCAACAGAAACACAAAACACAAUGAAAGGUGAGAUGUAUGAACAGACAGAUGUGGGAAAGCCACGCAUUUAGGGUGAGAUGCACCAAGGAUUAACUUAAAUGUAUCGUCUUAUAGCCAUAUAUCACUGCCAUAUGUACAGUCACGAAUCCGGUUCAUGGUCUUCCGUCCACUCGCCAUCAGAGGUCGCCCUUCCAUCAUAUUGACUCUCGCACCACACAGACUUUUGCACGUCACACUGGACUGCAUUUCCCAUCAUCAAUUGCACUGAUCACACAGCUGUCACCAAUCACACACUCACCUGAGAGCUAUUACACACACUAUAAAACACCCACUCAGAUCCUGUUCAGAUCACCGAGCAUUGUCUAGCGUUUAGCACUCUCCUAGUGUUAGCUAUUUUACCAAGCCAUCCCGUGUUUAUUUUCUGUUUUAGUCUCUAGUAUUGUUAUGCAUUUAUUGCACUCCAAGUGAUAGCUGCUUUACGGAGCCAUUUCCCUGUCUUAGUUUCUAGUUCCUGGUUCUAGUCUUAGUUUAGUCUCGUUGUGUUUCCUGAUUUCCUAGUUCCUGAUUCUUGCCCACGUAUUUUGGAUUAACCCGUUGCUUGCUGUUUCGGAUUGUGUUUGCUCCUCGCCUGGACUUUUGCUAAACGUUUAUGGAUUACCCUUCUUGUCUAGCCCUCUGGAUUACGUUUGCUGUCGUUCGACCCUGCCUGUGUUUUGAUUAUGUUUCAUAAUAAAAGCUUGCACAUGGAUCCACACGUCUCACGUCUUGUCAGCCCUGUUACAUGUACAUUCCUUUGACACAGAUAAAGAAAAAUAGUAAAAUGCCAUAAAACUGUUUUUAUAACUUACCGAUCAGAUUCCACCAGCACAAACUGAAAACAAACAUGUGAAACAUUUUCUUCAGUUGUUCAGUGUCUGAUCUAAUAAAACUACCUGCUAAACCAACAGCAGAAAUGUUAAUGUGACGUGUGAAUCCUCCUAUGGCAGAG